ACCACCAGCCUUCUUCAUUCACGAUAUGUUGAGCUAUACAGAAUUUCUGGUCUAAUUACUGUCAUGCACUUUUUUCUCAAGUCUCAAUGGCAAUCUGUCACAUUACACAUAAAAAGCAUCUCUCUACUUCCCCUGCCUAGCUUAACUCUAUUAAAAGCCUUCCUCUCCAUUCUUCAAUAUAGUUGGUUAGGUAAUGAAAUGGUCACUCUACAGCUCUUGUUGGCCGUCAGUUUUGAUGGACCUAAUUUCCAUAUCUGUUCCUAAUUUAUCGAAGCUGCUUGCUAUAGUUCCGUUUUUAUUUUUAGGGAGC
rnacentral:lncRNA from 1 species